AGUGAACGCUGGCGGUAGGCCUAACACAUGCAAGUCGAACGGCAGCACAGUAAGAGCUUGCUCUUACGGGUGGCGAGUGGCGGACGGGUGAGGAAUACAUCGGAAUCUACUUUUUCGUGGGGGAUAACGUAGGGAAACUUACGCUAAUACCGCAUACGACCUACGGGUGAAAUCAGGGGAUCUUCGGACCUUGCGCGAUUGAAUUAGCCGAUGUCGGAUUAGCUAGUUGGCGGGGUAAAGGCCCACCAAGGCGACGAUCCGUAGCUGGUCUGAGAGGAUGAUCAGCCACACUGGAACUGAGACACGGUCCAGACUCCUACGGGAGGCAGCAGUAGGGAAUAUUGGACAAUGGGCGCAAGCCUGAUCCAGCCAUACCGCGUGGGUGAAGAAGGCCUUCGGGUUGUAAAGCCCUUUUGUUGGGAAAGAAAAGCAGCAGGUUAAUACCCCGCUGUUCUGACGGUACCCAAAGAAUAAGCACCGGCUAACUUCGUG
rnacentral:rRNA from 1 species